GGGCGGUUAGCUCAGUUGGUUAGAGCACUGCGUUGACAUCGCAGGGGUCAGUGGUUCAAAUCCUCUACCGCCCACCA
rnacentral:tRNA from 1 species